rnacentral:rRNA from 1 species
UACAGAGGAUGCAAGCGUUAUCCGGAAUGAUUGGGCGUAAAGCGUCUGUAGGUGGCUUUUUAAGUCCGCCGUCAAAUCCCAGGGCUCAACUCUGGACAGGCGGUGGAAACUACCAAGCUGGAGUACGGUAGGGGCAGAGGGAAUUUCCGGUGGAGCGGUGAAAUGCGUAGAGAUCGGAAGGAACGCCCGCGGCGAAAGCGAGCUCCUGGACGUCUGCUGACGCUGAGACGCGAAAGCCAGGGGAGCGAACGGG